AUGGCCACUAAAAACAAGACAGAGGUGACUGAAUUUGUGUUGUUGGGCUUGCCCAGCAGACCAGGGAUGCAGCCAGUUAUUUUUGGGAUUGUCCUUGCAAUGUAUUUGAUGGCAGUUUGGGGAAAUGCCUUAUUAGUGAUUGUGGCUUGCUCAGACCCCAAGCUUCAGAUUCCCAUGUAUUUCCUUCUCAGCCAACUUUCCUUAAUUGAUAUAUCUCUAACGACCAUUAUUAUUCCUCAAAUGCUGGUGCACACACUGUCUGUGAAUCGAACCAUUUCCUUCAGCUGGUGCAUGACACAGCUGUUCUCCUUCAUGGCUGUGGGCAGCAUGGAAGUCCACUUGCUGGCCGCCAUGGCAUAUGACCGCUAUGUCGCCAUCUGUGAGCCUUUACGAUACUCUGCCAUUGUCAGCCAUCGCCUCUGUCUGCGCAUAACCUUGACCUCAUGGGUGGUUGUCAGCCUUAACAGUCUCCUGUAUACUCUGUUGGUCACCCAUUUAACCUUCUGUGGUAACCAGGUGACCCACUUCUUCUGUGACAUCACUCCUCUGCUGAAGCUCUCCUGCACCAGACCAGUGGUCAAUGAAAUGCUAAUCUUCACUGAAGGUGUGGCUGUGGUGGUCAGUCCUUUCUUCUUCAUUUUUGGUUCCUACGUCCGCAUAGGCAUUGCCAUAGCUCACACACACUCAGUUGUUGCCCUGCGUAAAGCCAUGUCCACCUGUGGCUCUCACAUCCUGGUCGUGUUGUUCCUGUUUGGCUCUUUGGUUCACAUGUACCUCCGGCCGUCAUCCAGCUACAACUUAGAACAGGAUAGCCAGGUAGCCAUCUUUUACACACUUGUUGGCCCUAUGCUAAAUCCACUAAUCUACAGCCUCAGGAACCAGGAAGUUAAAGGAGCUCUGCGAAAGCUAUUCAGGAAACUCUGUAUCCUAGGAAACAAAGAAUGGCAACACAUCUCCUGAGAACAAAAGAACUAGUCGGAAAUCAUUUCAGACAGGUGGGCUAUACUUUUAAACACUGA